AAUUACAAUACUACCAAACAAUGAAAUAUUAGGUAGCCAUUUAAAAGUCACAUUUAGCUGGGUUUAAGAAGUGCAAUAUUAAAACAAAAGCCAUGAGACUUGUAAGCCCAGUGUGUAAAGAUACACUCUGAGUUAUAACUCAGAGGCACAGUU
rnacentral:snoRNA from 1 species